rnacentral:rRNA from 1 species
UACGGAGGAUGCAAGCGUUAUCCGGAUUUAUUGGGUUUAAAGGGUGCGUAGGCGGAUUUGUAAGUCAGUGGUGAAAGCCUGCAGCUUAACUGCAGAAUUGCCAUUGAUACUGCUAAUCUAGAGUGUAUUUGAUGUGGGCGGAAUGUACGGUGUAGUGGUGAAAUACUUAGAUAUCGUACAGAACACCGAUUGCGAAGGCAGCCCCCUGGGUCGAUACUGACGCUCAUGCACGAAAGCGUGGGGAGCAAACAGG